rnacentral:rRNA from 1 species
AUUGAACGCUGGCCGCAGGCCUAACACAUGCCAGUCGAGCGGAGCGGCGGACGGGUGCGUAAUGCCUAGGCAUCUGCCUUGUAGUCGGGGAUCACGUCCGGAAACGGGCGCUACUCCCGCAUCAUAUCAGAUGAGCCUAGGUCGGAUUAGCUAGUUGGUGGGGUAAAGGCCUACCAAGGCGACGAUCCGUAACUGGUCUGAGAGGAUGAUCAGUCACACUGGAACUGAGACAAGGUCCAGACUCCUACGGGAGGCAGCAGUGGGGAAGAUUGGACAAUGGGCGAAAGCCUGAACCAGCCAUGCUGGGUGUGUGAAGAAGGUCUUCGGAUUGUAAAGCACUGUAAGUUGGGAGGCGUUACCAACAGAAUAAGCACCGGCUAACUUCGUGCCAGCAGCCGCGGUAAUAC